rnacentral:lncRNA from 1 species
AGCUACAGUCUCCGCCUGGCGUCCCGGUGUCCUCCGCCAGCGGCCUCGUACAUCACCAGGCAGUGUAGGAAUGUCAAGGCCACAGCGGCAGCCCAGUUCCAGGGAUCCCUCUUCAAAGAGUAGGUGCUUCACCUGCUCCCUGACAGCACCUGAAGUGACCUGGAAUCAGUGAAGCCAAAGGGACUGGCCUUCUGCCCUGCAGGGAGUACCGACCGACCUAUCCGGAUCCAUGAGCCUGCGAGAGAGGGAGGGAGUGUGUGUGCGCGUGUGCGCGUGCGUGUGUGGUCUUCAGACGAGGGUCCCAAACCCCAGGGAGGCAGGAAGGCAGCUGACUCCACACGGCGGCGGCGGGUGACACUGGGUGCAGCCCCCUGGGACCGCGAUCUGCCUCUCAGCCUUCCUGCCAGGAUGGGGCCCCUCCUACUAUGCAAUUUUUCAAGAGCUCCUUGAUCCUGCUUUUCGCUUCUCCCGUUGUCUCUUGCCACGUCAGGGACCUGGGUCUGGCCCAGGGGUCAGCUCCAGCCCGGUCGGAGGAAGGAAGGGCUAGGGGGGCGGGGCGGGGGGAGGCCCAGGUCCCCUUCCAGCCGGCCCGGCCCCGCCCUCCCUCGCCCCCCCGACGUCUCUGGGAAUCCACUGCCUGCAGACACGUCGGAGCCUCGCUGAUCGGCCCCCGCGGCCGGUGCUUGGAAGCCUUCCUCCUUUGCCUGAGCCAUCUGAGCCGCUGGCUCUUGAGUCGUGUCCAGAUUUGCCCUUCAGUCCGUCCGCCUGAGCCCCGGGCGAAGGUGUCCUCGCCUCGUUUCUUAGAUGGGGCCCCUCCCUCGGGAGAGGCGGGGUCGGGAUGCCCGGCUGGGGGCCCCCGGGGAGACCUCCCCUGCGGGGCAGGUUGCGGGGGUGGGCUUCCUUGCCUCACUUGGUGGGACCAUCCGCACCUUUCGUGUCUGAGCUUCUCAAACUGGCUGAAAAGGGAAGCCAACCAACCAGACAGAAAUUGGGAAAAGAAAACUAAGUUGGAGGAUGCAAAAGCCUGGGGGGGGGGGAAUAAAAGAUUUCCGGAAGCCGUCCAUCGCCUGCCAGGGAGCAGCGGAGUUGGCCGCGACUCUGGCGGAACAGUCCAUGUUUCGGAGAAACGGGUGAGCUAAGCUAGGAGUUGGGACCCAGUUCAGUGAGGGUCUUGGGUUUUGUGCCUUUGGGGCAGACCCCAGACAGGGAUGUCUGAGUCCACUUUGGCGCUGUUUUCUCAGCCCCCUUUGCAGUGGGGAGACGUCACACCCAAAGUGGAGGGAGGGAAGUGGUACCAGAGGUCGUG